rnacentral:rRNA from 1 species
CAGUUAUUGGGUAUCAAAACCUAAUAGCGAAAUUAACAUAACUUUUAUGGGAUUAGUUUUUAGAUUAUUUAUAGUCUAUUAAUUCAAUCCCGGGGCGUUCUAUAUAGUUAUGUAUAAUAAUAUUUAUAUUAUUUAUACCUCUAACUAGAGCGUACCUUGAGCAUAUAUGCUGUGACCCGAAAGAUGGUGAACUAUACUUGAUCAGGUUGAAGUCAGGGGAAACCCUGAUGGAAGACCGAAACAGUUCUGACGUGCAAAUCGAUUGUCAGAAUUGAGUAUAGGGGCGAAAGACCAAUCGAACCAUCUAGUAGCUGGUUCCCUCCGAAGUUUCCCUCAGGAUAGCUGGUGCAUUUAAAUAUUAUGUAAAAUAAUCUUAUCUGGUAAAGCGAAUGAUUAGAGGCCUUAGGGUCGAAACGACCUUAACCUAUUCUCAAACUUUAAAUGGGUAAGAACCUCACCUUUCUUGGUAUGAAGGUUGUGGUUGUGAUAUAAUGUGCCCAGUGGGCCACUUUUGGUAAGCAGAACUGGCGCUGUGGGAUGAACCAAACGUAAUGUUACGGUGCCCAAAUUAACAACUCAUGCAGAUACCAUGAAAGGCGUUGGUUGCUUAAAACAGCAGGACGGUGGACAUGGAAGUCGUAAUCC